rnacentral:rRNA from 1 species
GACGAACGCUGGCGGCGUGCUUAACACAUGCAAGUCGAACGGAAAGGCCCUGCUUGCAGGGUACUCGAGUGGCGAACGGGUGAGUAACACGUGGGUGUUCUGCCCUGCACUUCGGGAUAUGCCUUGGAAACUGGGUCUAUUACCGGAUAGGAGCCAUUUUUCGUGUGAUGGUUGGAUAGUUUUUUUGGUGUGGGAUGAGCUCGCGGCCUAUCAGUUUGUUGGUGGGGUAAUGGCUUACCAAGGCGGCGACGGGUGGCGGGCCUGCGAGGGUGGCGGGCCAAAUUGGGACUGGGAUAGGGCCCAGCCCCCAAGGGGAGGAAGAGGGGGGAAAUAUUGCAAAAUGGGGGGAAGCCUGAUGAAGGAAGGCGGCGGGGGGAUGACGGCCUUCGGGUUGUAAACUCCUUUCGCUAUGGACGAAGCUGUGUGUGACGGUACCGAGAUAAGAAGCACCGGCUAACUACGUG